rnacentral:rRNA from 1 species
AGCGAACGCUGGCGGCGUGCCUAACACAUGCAAGUCGAGCGAAGGCAUGAGUGUAGCAAUACACUUAUGUACUUAGCGGCGGACGGGUGAGUAACACGUGGAUAAUCUGCCCUGAGGACCGGGACAACUCUGGGAAACCGGAGCUAAUACCGGAUGUGACCACGAUGUCUGAGGACGUUGAGGUAAAAGGGUGGCCUGCAAGGGCUAUUGCCUUGGGGAUGAGUUCACGACCCAUCAGGUAGUUGGGGG